GCCGGGCGGGAGUGAGACAGCCGGGCGGGAGUGGCACGUCCUGAAGAGAGUGGCACGUCCUGAAGAGAGUGAGACAGCCGGGAGGGAGUGAGACAGCCGGGAGGGAGUGAGACAGCCGGGAGGGAGUGAGACAGCCUGGAGAGAGUGAGACAGCCGGGAGGGAGUGGCACGUCCUGAAGAGAGUGAGACAGCCGGGAGGGAGUGAGACAGCCGGGAGGGAGUGGCACGUCCUGAAGAGAGUGAGACAGCCGGGAGGGAGUGAGACAGCCGGGAGGGAGUGAGACAGCCUGGAGGGAGUGGCACGUCCUGAAGAGAGUGAGACAGCCUGGAGGGAGUGGCACGUCCUGAAGAGAGUGAGACAGCCGGGAGGGAGUGGCACGUCCUGAAGAGAGUGAGACAGCCUGGCGGAAGUGAGACAGCCUGGAGGGAGUGACGCACGCACAGAAGUGGGUUGAGGCCGAACGAGAAGGCCAGAUGGAGAGGAAUGUAAAUGUACUGCCUUUAUGUAGCACUCUAACCUAUUGGACAGUCAAAGCGCUUUACAAUAUUGCCUCUCAUUCACCAUAACACACACAUUCACACACCGACGGCGGAGUCAGACGUGCAAGGCGACAGCCAGCUCGGCGGGAGCAGUUAGGGUUAGGUGCCUUGCUCAAGGACACUCGGCUAGGAGGAGCCGGGGAUCCAACUAGCAACCUUUCAGUUACAAGGCAACUGCUCUACCUCCUGAGCUAAGCCGACCCUGCAUGGAGCUGACGCCGGUUGCACCAACGGGACUUACGCCUGGUCUUAACUACGCACGGCCUUAGCCAUGUGAAUGGCACCGCGUUGCUAGGAUACCUCGUGCCAACAGGUAUUUACUAUUUUACUUAACAUCCGAUAUGAUGGAGGAAAACCGCAAGAGGAAAGGCAACUUUACUGAUGUUGAAAUAAAAAAUUGAUCGAGUUGUACAGUGACAACUAGACGCUCUGACUGCCAAGCAGUCCAAUGUCAAUACAAACAAAAAAGCAGGAGACAUGGCGAUUUGUAAUGGAGAGCUUGAACAGCUGUUCGGACUCCGGCUGUCAUCGGGCAGAUGCCGGCAUUAAGAAAAGACCUCCUGUCCCGGGCCAAGAAGGACAUGUCUGCCCCAAAGAACCGGCGGUGGUCCUCCCCCGAAAACGUCACCUUACAGCGACAUUAUUGUCACUAUUUUUGGGGAGGAUUCACCAGCCUUCGUCGGGGUGGACAGCGGCUGUCAUCAACCGCCGGAGCCGUUGGAUGAAGACUUGGCAAGUGCCCAAUCAGCGUUGAGCUUGACCCGACUUCACUGGCAGAGAGACGGAGAGGACAGAACAGAAAUGGAGGAACAAAACCUGAUAGUCGCAGUGUGCAGCCGUCCUGUCCUGUACGACACCACGAUGGUGUCGUACAGGACAGGAACAAAAGAGAGGGCGUGGGUCGACGUGGCUGAGGAUACUGGCUUUCCUGUGGACGUAUGUCGCAGGAAGUGGAAGUCGCUCAGGGACAGGUACAUGAGACACAAAGAGGGAAAAAGAGGGAAAAAAGAGCGGGUCAGCGGCAGGGACAGUGAAUAAAUGGAAAUUCGCUGGGGUCCUGUCCUUCCUCGACCCCUUUGUCACCCCGAGGGAGACCAGCAGCAACUUACCUCGGGGGGUAGAGGAGGUAGAGGAGGACGGGGCUCCAGAGACUUCACUGUCAGGGGCAGGAGAAGAUGAGGAGCUUGAGGAGGCAGCAGCAGGACCAUCGCACAUAGCAGGUUUGUUGACAAGUGAAGACACGUACAGCUUCUGUAUUAUGGCCACAGGAACGGUUUACAGUGCGGCACGAUUCUGUCUAUCUUUAAUGUGCUGUAAUAUAGAUCAUGCAUAUAUCAUCCAAGCAAAAAAAAAACAAGUCUUCUUUCUCAAUAACAUAAACCAGCCCAGCAGUGAGUCAGACGCAGUGGACGCUGAUGCUGCCCCUGCCCCUGGCCCUGCC